UGGAGGCAAGGGGAAUGAGAGGAAGCAGAUUAUGCUCAGAAUAGAAGCGAAUGUUUUCGAUGGAGACACAACAGCCAAUGCUGUGCAUCAGAAAGAACCCGGCAUCAUGUUCAAGCAGCGUUCAAGUACGGAGCCGGGUGGAAAUGGCCGAACACGUGUGGUAGCCAAUAUUCAGGAUAAAGAGAGAAUGCAAGUGCGAUCUCAUGACCCUGAGAUCAUGACCUGAGCUGAAAUCAAGAGUUGGACGCUUAACCCACUGAGCCACCUAGGUGUCCCCAACAUGAUUUUUUUUUUUUUAGGUGAG